AAUAGAUAAAUCUAAAAUUCCUAUUGGUUUUUGAAAAUUUCGAAUUUGGGACUACUACCAUAAUCGGGAGGAAAUAAACAUCAUGAAACUACCGAUUGUGAAAAUAAAGAAAUCUAAAAUUCCUAUCGGUUUUUGAAAAUUUCGGAUUUGGGGCUACUACCAUAAUCGGGAGGCAAUAAACAUCAUGAAACUACCGAUUCUGGUUGUUCUCAAUCAUGUGAAAAUGGAAUCUCCUCUAUAUAAAAAAUUUCUCCCGAUUGUAGACUUAACUACCGAUUAUGGAGGGCAUAUUUGCCAUUUUGAAAAAUUUGAGAUGAGGGGUGACUUUGUUUUAGGUUUGGGUGACUUUUUUGUCAUUUUGUGUCGCCCCUAUUUCUUUUGGGGUCGCCCCUAAAAAUGCCAGGGAUAAAAUGAUUAAAUGAAAUUCCUUUCAUGAUCUAUGUAAACUAAAUUUUAAAUGGAUCAUUACUUGAUUUCUUUCCAUGGGUAAUUUCAUAAAAAAAAAAUGUUUUACCAUGGGUAUGUAUGAGGCUUACAAUCUAACCAAUUUUAUUUACGAUUUUUGGUGUAAACCAUCCAUGCUCUUGGUUUGAAAUCCUAUUUUUUUUGUGUUUGUUCUCUUUAUUGAAAUGUAAAUGAUUUAUGAAGAACAAAAAUGAAUUUGCGGCAACUCGAAUAUUAGUUUUCAUCUUAAAUCAUGAAUGAUACUAUUUUCUUCAUAAACUGAUUUUGUUUGCAAAAUGGUCAAAUGAGUUUUGUAUUUAGAACUCCACUCAUAGCUAACAGUUGAAAUCCUUCAUAAUCAUUUUAUGGGUUUUCCUUGUUUUCAUUCUUUUGGCUACCUGGUGACCCAAAUUUAAUUUGCAACCUAAAGUUUGUUUUUAUCUUGAAUGUCUCUCAUCCAUUUUUCUAAAGCAGCCCAGCUUGAAAGUUGUACUACCAUAUACAUGAAAUCCUUUGUUUUCCAUUUUGUUUUAAGGCCAAUUGAUCACCUGCUUGAUAUUGAAUGCAUCCCUUGGGCUGCUGGGUAAGACUUUUUGGGAUGAAUUAUGUGUAUCUUGUACUUUGUUUUUAUGGAUCUGGUUUAGUUGAUUCCAUGGUGUACAAACUGUACUUCAAGUUUGGUAUUUUUGCUUGGCGCGGGCUUUUGGUAAGUUGUGGCGUCUUUUCUAUUGACUGUUGAGAAUUGGAUCUUGUUUCAGAAAGUGUUCUUUACAUGAUAAUUCGUUUGUGAUUUGUUGUCACGAAGAACUAGACUCUACUUCAGGAACGUCGGGCUUAGUGGCACCCCACCACCUCGGUGGCUAUCCGGAAGAUCGUUGCGGCAACGAUGGCUAGUAACCAGAACUACCCUGACGGUGGCACUGGCCAUGAAUAGUAGAGUAAAUUUAUUUACAACUCCGAAUCUUGUUUAAACGGUGUUUGCAGUACGAAGCGAGGUUGAGGCAGUAAGCUUGGGAAGAGCUUACGGCAAGAAAAUUUGAGCAAAACUGGUAUUUUUGCUUGUGUCUAUAAUAUGCAUAUCACGGGGAUUAUCUGGGUAGCUUGUUUCCUUUGAUCCCAUGUCAUUUUUGCUGCAUUUUAUUGUUAUAAAAAGGGUUGGGAUCUUGAUAUAGUUUAUAACUGAAAACUUGUCGGUUUCGUGAACAUUGGGUCUGGUCUUGGGUAUUUGCAGUAGUGCUUUUGAAUUCCUUUUGUUGUCAGAUAUCUAUGUAUCCCAGGAGUACUCAUAUACUUGUUUUGUUUGAUUUUUAAAACUUUUGUAGUCGGAAGAACGCUUCUUAUCACUUCUUUCAUUUAUUUUCAUCUUAACAGCCUUAUAUACUUCCUUUGUUUACACGUUAAACACCCACUCACGGUCAGCAUCAUGAACUAUUAAUUGUACCAUUUAUAUAUUUAUCCUUUCAUGGAAAUCCCAUUUUGAAAAUGUGUUGUUACUGUGAGUAAAGGGUCCAUGGGAUCUCACCUGAAUUGUCUUAUUUUAUUUGUUUUUAUUCAUUUUGAUUCUGUAAUUGGAAAUGAAAGAAGUGUUAAUUUACUGCUUGUUAAUAUAAUUGCUUCUAGGGCUGGCAAUGGAUAGCCGAAAUCCGAUAUCCGUUUCCGAAAAUCCGACAUCCUAUAGGAUUUAAUCCGACAUAUCGGAUAUCGGAAUCCGAUAGCUUAUCGGAUAAUACCUCUUAUCGGAAUCGGAAUCGGAAUCGGAUUGGGGUCAUUCCGUUAGGUUAAUAUCCGACAUCCGAUAAUCUAGGGGUGUACUUGUAAUCAUACCCAUCCGUUUUAGGCUAUUAGUUUACAUGUUUAUCUUCUCGUCUUUCUUUCCCAUUUUAUUUUCUCUCGGAUACUCCUCCUUUCUCGAUUCUCAGUGAAGAUAUUCACCGCCAUCUCUCUCAACGCACCACUCAAUCACCACCUUUCCUUCUUCUCCUUCUUCGCUUCUUCUUCUUCAUCUUCUACUUCUUGUUCUUCGAUUUAGCCAAUCACAGAUCCACAACAGAACAGCCGAAUCAUGAACCAUCACCAGUUCACCACCACACUAGUAAAAGAAAUAACUUAAUAGAAGUUGCACAAUCUUUUGAGAUAUUCAAAGCUGCUUUUCUGAAGAUUGAUUUGGAUAAUUGCAAGAUAUGGAAGUCAUCGACUGAAGUUGAUGCAAUGAUGCAACAUGUAACCAGGCAGCCAAGGAAGAUCAUCACUAGCAAGUUGUUUGACAUUAUUGUUAAGUCUGUGUACAGGAAGACAUGGUUUUUUCUUUUUUGCUAUUGUGUACUUUAGUUUGCAGACUGUUUGGUUGGGUGUUUGUAGUUUUUUUUUUCAUGUGUGAUGUGACUGAGACACUGGAGUAGUGUU